rnacentral:lncRNA from 13 species
AACAGAUGUUUUAAGCAUCAAUGUGAAUAGGUGCAGCAAGCGUAAUGAAAUUAUAUAAGAGAUUUUUUGACGUCAGCCAACAAUAUGGAGUGAUUUUUGUGGCAAUUUAUUUUGGUAUGAAAAUCCAUUCAUACAAUAAACUGAACAGAUCCGUAAAUUAUAUAAAAUACUUUUUAUGACAACAUGCAAAAGUUAAUGUAGUGGAAUAUAAUAGCUUGAUGAUAGCAGGCAGCAGGUCAAAGUCUGUUGGUCCUCAACUCUGUCAUACACAAUACAGAUAAAAUGAUAUAAACUACAAUUAUAUACAGCUAUACAGUAUACAUUAUAUGCAAUUAUACAUUUGUAACUCAUGUCAAUUGUUCCCUUUUCCCCCUGUUUAGAUCCAAAUCUCUUCUCCACUUUGACCCCACCUUCCAUGGCGAUGAUUGCUAACUCCACGGGGAUGACCUCCAAUGACCUCUCCCUGAACUCAACGUCGACCCUUAGUCCGGAACCUUGGACCCCGCCUCCUUGGUACCAAUUCCACGUCUGCUCCGUGGCCCCUUACGGAUUCAUCUUCUACUUUGGAGUCAAAGUCUUCAACCUGGCCAUAGGCACACCCUGCAAUAUACUGGUCCUGUGGCAGAUCUCCAGCAGGAAAAGUGACUCGUCCACGUCUGACAUCUUCAUCUUUAAUCUGGCUUUAAUGGACACCUACUUCUGCCUCAUGGGGCCUAUAGACAUUGUCAACAGGCUGGUCCUGGACCACCAAGGCAUCUGGUACUUCCAACGCUUUGCCUACGGGGUCAAAGACACAGGACCCCUCUUCCUGGUGUGUAUCUGUCUGGACCGCUACGUGGCCGUGGUCCAUCCGGUGCUGUUCACCGGUAUCCGUGACAACAAGAUCCGCGUUGGUGUCUCCGUGGUAACCUGGGCCCUCAUCCUGGCCUACAGCCUCACAAAGAGCAUCCUGGGAGUCAUGUCUGUCAACGAGGUGUUCAGCGGCCUCAUCCUCUUCGCCUUCGCCCUCAUGAUCUACUGUAACCUCUCCAUCAUAUGGGUCCUACGCCGCUCCGUAGCCGGGAAGGAGGUGAUGCACCCCGUGAAGAAGAAGGCCUUCAAAAUGGUGCUGGUCAUCUUGGGUAUAAUCUUCGUCAACUACCUUCCUCCCGUGGCUCUUGUUCCGUUCUUCUCCUACUACACGUUCGUCCAGUUCCGCUGUCAGGUGACUAUCAGUGUGUUCUCCAUCAUGGAUCUGAGUUGUAGUCUGGAGCCACUUCUGUAUAUGACCAAGAUGGACAGGCCUGCGUGUGUUCCUGGCUGGUGCUGUGCGGGGGAGAGCUCGGCCAAGAAACCCUACGAGGUUAAAGUGUGACGGGGCUCAUCACUAUCCUGCCAAGUUACAAAGUCAGAAGGCCCAAUACUUUCUACGAUUCCUCUUCUUAAACUCUGAUUUUAAACCUUAACUUUAACCGAACCUUAACCACACUGCUAACCGUAUGCCUAACCCUAACCUUAAAUUAAGACCAAAAAUAACAUUUCUGUUGGCAGACAUUUUUACGAUAAAGCCAAUUCUGACUUUGCAGCUUGGCCAUCUACUGGGAACCAUGUGAUGAGGGAGAGAAGAAGAGGCUGGUGGGUGGAGCUAUACGAGGAUGGGUUCAUUGUAAUGGCUGGAAUGGAAUAAAUGGAAUGGACCAUGUGUUUCAUGUGCGUGAUUCUGUUCCAUUUAUUCUAUUCCAACCAUUACAAUGAGCCUGUCCUCCUGUAGCUCUGCCCACCAGCCUCCAGUGGGGUGACCAUCUACCAACUACCAACUCCUGUCCUGGAGAGCCAUUGCUGUGCAGGCUUUAGGUCCAGCCCUGCAGUACACAUUAUAUUCAGCCUGCACAGUCCUGACAUGUCUUAAAUUAGGUAGGCCGCAAUACACACAUUUAGAUGUAUCACAGGG